UACAGAGACCCCGAGCAUUAUCCGGAAUUACUGGGCGUAAAGCGCGAGCAGCCGGUUGUAUUAGUCUGAUGUAAAACCAUGGGGCCCAACUCCAUGUCCGCAUUGGAAACGGUACACCUUGAGCGAAUAAGAGGAGAGCAGAACGUAUGGUGUAGGGGUGAAAUCCACUGAUAUCAUACGGAAUACCAAAAGCGAAGGCAGCUCUCUAGUGUUCUGCUGACGGUCAAUCGCGAAAGCGUGGGGAUCAAAAAGG
rnacentral:rRNA from 1 species